CGGGCCGUGGCGCAGUUUGGCUAGCGCGCUUGAAUGGGGUUCAAGAGGUCGGAGGUUCGAAUCCUCUCGGCCCGA
rnacentral:tRNA from 1 species